GGCUCUGUGGUGUAGUGGUAGCACACGCCUCCGGUAUGAGUGAGAUGCGGGUUCAACUCCCGCUUGCGGUCG